rnacentral:snoRNA from 1 species
CCCAGCUGUAGGCAACUACCUAGGUUACCUUGUACUUAGGCAAGUAUCCCACUGCUGGGAGAAAAGCAGCAGACAUGUGUCAGGAAUUCUGGGCCUGUUUAAUGCCAAAUU